GUGGGCUACGGGGACAUGUACCCCAUGACUGUGGGGGGCAAGAUUGUGGGUUCUCUGUGUGCCAUUGCUGGGGUCCUCACCAUUGCUCUGCCCGUCCCAGUCAUCGUCUCCAAC
rfam:Cavia porcellus supercont2_107 genomic scaffold, whole genome shotgun sequence.